UACGUAGGGUGCGAGCGUUAAUCGGAAUUACUGGGCGUAAAGCGUGCGCAGGCGGUUUUGUAAGCCAGAUGUGAAAGCCCCGGGCUCAACCUGGGAAUGGCAUUUGGGACUGCAAGGCUUGAGUGCGGCAGAGGAGACUGGAAUUCCUGGUGUAGCAGUGAAAUGCGUAGAUAUCAGGAGGAAUACCGAUGGCGAAGGCGGCACUCUGGGCUGGAACUGACGCUGAGGAGCGAAAGCGUGGGUAGCAAACAGG
rnacentral:rRNA from 1 species